CACUCGUCUCCUCAUCGCUUUUCAGCGACAGAGAAAAGAAGAUGGCUUUUCGCUCUUAUACUUCCCCUUAUGCAUAUCUUAGGCACUUUUAAAAGGGGGCCUUCAGAACUGAGCAGGGCCUUUUUGUAUUCAGCCAGGCCAGCUUAUGGUAGCGCUAAAUGCAGAUCAGUGCUUUUACUUGAAGAUGUUUGAUGAAUCCAAAAAUCCUUCGUAGAAAUGAUCCUGGAUUCUGGGGCGAAUCUUGGGGCUCGUUUGAAUGGGACAAGCUGUAGGCUAAUUCCUUACCGCUAAGAAGAACAGAGAUUAGCCUUCAUUGUCAACCCCGACUGGAUUAGGCCGACUCUAAAAGAGCUGAUCAAACCCAACGAGAUUCUGCGUGGCGAAGCGAGAAGCGCUUGCCAUAGGUGGCUGCUCUGAGGUGUAAACAGAGCUGCGACACUUCAUCUCGCCCUGCAGGGCAGACAGAGGCCUCGCAACCACCUUGUGAGGAGAUGCCAUGACCAUGAAAUCCUUAUCUCUGUCACUUCAGCACGAGCAGAUACUGGCGCACAGCGGCACGGGCGCUCCGGCGAAGGAGCCAAUAAAGAUUUCGUUGUGAUCAUCAAAAGAAGAGAGUCCGACCGAUAUUGAGGAUGAGGCAGUGGAGCCGGAAGGCAAAAAGGUGGAAAGGAUUCUGAGCACCACUCCAUCUCGCACUGGAGCUUUCUCAGCAACCCAGAUUUUGCACCCCACACGCGUCUACCACUCUGCCAAGUUUAAAAAUUGCAACAAGAAAGGGCCUCGGCUUCAAGCUGGAAUGACAUACAUUCAACACACUUAAGACGCUCUGGCUGGUAAACUACUACGUGGAGGGAGCCAAGUCCUGUAGUGAUGUGCAAUGUUCCCAUAUACUUGUCAUGUCCAAGACUUGAUUAUGAGAGUUUUCUUUUUCUUUUUUUUAUCAAGCCAUCUGUAAUGUUGCAAAACUAUCACUAUGCUGAUCACAAGCACCCACUGAAAAGUAGAUUUUAUGCAGUUAUCUGUUGUGCAGCCUGUAAAAAAACAUGUAGAUUUGUAGUGAUUUUUGUCUCUCCCUUUGAAUGUGUGCGUGACAGUAAGAGGGAGGGAAGGACAGCAAGAGACAGGCAUGAAAUCUUGUCUUUUUUAUAUUUGACUGUAAACCUGUAAUGGAUUGUAGGAAUGAAAUUGCCUGUUACCAUAUGGGGGUAGCAUUGACGAAGGGUGCCAUCGGGUAACUAAAUAACAGAUGAGAGGACAGGAUGAAAGACACUGCUUUAAUCCACCACAACUGAUUUGAUAAUAAAACUCGAGUUCAUUUCACAGCAAAGCCAAUUAUGUCUUCAGUGAGUUCUGCCAUCACUGCUUUCGUUUCAAUCCUUAGAACCAUUUCUGUGGCGUAUUCAAAACCAGCGGGUUGUCUGUCACAUAUUUGUGAAAAUAUCUUGACAUAAUUAUGCAAAUAUUAGACCGAAACAGCAAACUAUGAUUAAAUCAAUAACUUCGAUUUGAAUAACGUUUUAAAGCCAUGAAAACUUUCAUUUUACAGUGAGCUUUACGUGAUGCAAAACACACAAGAGGGCUCCAUGGUGAUACGAACCGACUACAGUUUCAUAACGGCCGUGCCCUUCCCCCGAGGUUGCAUCCACACGCUUCAUCUGAGCGGCGUGUGUCCCGAUGGACAGCGACGAUUGGUGGGCUGCUGGGCGACACCCUUCAGGAGACCUGGAUGACGGGACAAGACUGCUCUCUCGUUCUUAACUGCUCAUAUCCCAGCUGUCUCUCGCAGAGUGAUGGCUUCAUUUUGACCGCAACGAUCCCCUCCUGGAAGCCUCCUCGACGGCGCAAGGCGAGAAGACACGUGUCGCUUGAUCUGAUGGCAGAGGACUAAUUGCAUUCUGGGAUACAUGCCUGGAAUUCAGAAUGUUCAACAAAAGAAACAUGUUGUGUAAGCAGACCACCCACAACAUCGGGACAAUUAAUAACCCUCCUUCUGGGGAGAGAAUUUGGACUGUCCAGCCUCCCAGAAGACUGCACUGCUGCCUUUUUUGAUAUCUGUGGCCAGAUAGAGACAGACCUGCCGUCCUUAGGCGGCGUGACGCCACUUGAGCUCCAAUGUGACUGGACUGUUAUGAGGCCAACUUAGCCAGCCUGCUCCAAUCAUAGGAAGCACAAACAAGCCCCUAACCAUACUGAAUGCUAAGCCAGAUCAGUCUCGGGGGUGGUUUGUCAGGUUUUGCAGGGAUAACAUAGCAUGGGAUUAUUUUUUCUCUCUCUCUCUCUCUCUCUCUCUUACUCACUCUCACUCAAUCUCAAUGUCCCUCUCCCUCUAUUUCCAUCUCUGCGUCUGUUAUUCUGGAUUCACAUCUCUCCAAGGAGGAGAAUGCCUUUUUACAACACAUGCUGACACGCACGCACGCACACUCACACCCAUACAUAGUGCCGUACACACAAAUACGCCUGUGUACUUACACCCACUCACACUCUCACCUCCUAUCUCCGCUCGACACAAGCAGCCUAAGCAUUUGAGGUCUCCAUUUAUAUGGUUCAUGUGUGGUUCAGCAGUGAAAUUAAGAUGAGGUGUUGACAAGCUAAUGCUGAAAUAACAAGACCUACUAACGUGUGGCGAGUCUUAAUGGAGCCUGUGCCAUCAAAUGUUGCUGGAGCCCAGUAUUAAGGUGAUGAAGUGUACUAUUUUAAACUGGCACCAUCACAGGGUAAAGUCCUCAUUACCACGAAGACACUGGUGGCACAUUAUGAAAAGCAAUAAACAUGCUCCCCUCACCCCGUCUCGUGCUGCUGCAUCCAUCGAGCAGGCAACAUAUGGGUGCCCGCAGGAGUGGCUGUGCUUAGCCAACUGGGGUUUGAUGACAACACCGCCAGGGUCAGUGUAAAAGGAAAUGUAAUUUUCAUUAAGAAAAAACUCAUUUGGAGUCAACCCUACCUUAGACUAACAUUUUAUUUAUAUAUAUA